GGUUAAGCGACUAAGCGUACACGGUGGAUGCCCUGGCAGUCAGAGGCGAUGAAGGGCGUGCUAAUCUGCGAUAAGCGCCGGUAAGGUGAUAUGAACCGUUAUAACCGGCGAUACCCGAAUGGGGAAACCCAGUGUGACUCGUCACACUAUCAUUAACUGAAUCCAUAGGUUAAUGAGGCGAACCGGGGGAACUGAAACAUCUAAGUACCCCGAGGAAAAGAAAUCAACCGAGAUUCCCCCAGUAGCGGCGAGCGAACGGGGAGGAGCCCAGAGCCUGAAUCAGCAUGUGUGUUAGUGGAAGCGUCUGGAAAGGCGCGCGAUACAGGGUGACAGCCCCGUACACAAAAGCGCAUGUGCUGUGAGCUCGAUGAGUAGGGCGGGACACGUGGUAUCCUGUCUGAAUAUGGGGGGACCAUCCUCCAAGGCUAAAUACUCCUGACUGACCGAUAGUGAACCAGUACCGUGAGGGAAAGGCGAAAAGAACCCCGGCGAGGGGAGUGAAAAAGAACCUGAAACCGUGUACGUACAAGCAGUGGGAGCACCCUUCGGGGUGUGACUGCGUACCUUUUGUAUAAUGGGUCAGCGACUUAUAUUCUGUAGCAAGGUUAACCGAAUAGGGGAGCCGUAGGGAAACCGAGUCUUAACCGGGCGUUAAGUUGCAGGGUAUAGACCCGAAACCCGGUGAUCUAGCCAUGGGCAGGUUGAAGGUUGGGUAACACUAACUGGAGGACCGAACCGACUAAUGUUGAAAAAUUAGCGGAUGACCUGUGGCUGGGGGUGAAAGGCCAAUCAAACCGGGAGAUAGCUGGUUCUCCCCGAAAGCUAUUUAGGUAGCGCCUCGUGAAUUCAUCUCCGGGGGUAGAGCACUGUUUCGGCUAGGGGGCCAUCCCGGCUUACCAACCCGAUGCAAACUGCGAAUACCGGAGAAUGUUAUCACGGGAGACACACGGCGGGUGCUAACGUCCGUCGUGAAAGGGAAACAACCCAGACCGCCAGCUAAGGUCCCAAAGUCAUGGUUAAGUGGGAAACGAUGUGGGAAGGCCCAGACAGCCAGGAUGUUGGCUUAGAAGCAGCCAUCAUUUAAAGAAAGCGUAAUAGCUCACUGGUCGAGUCGGCCUGCGCGGAAGAUGUAACGGGGCUAAACCAUGCACCGAAGCUGCGGCAGCGACACUCAGGUGUUGUUGGGUAGGGGAGCGUUCUGUAAGCCUGUGAAGGUGGCCUGUGAGGGUUGCUGGAGGUAUCAGAAGUGCGAAUGCUGACAUAAGUAACGAUAAAGCGGGUGAAAAGCCCGCUCGCCGGAAGACCAAGGGUUCCUGUCCAACGUUAAUCGGGGCAGGGUGAGUCGACCCCUAAGGCGAGGCCGAAAGGCGUAGUCGAUGGGAAACAGGUUAAUAUUCCUGUACUUGGUGUUACUGCGAAGGGGGGACGGAGAAGGCUAUGUUGGCCGGGCGACGGUUGUCCCGGUUUAAGCGUGUAGGUGUGUGUUCCAGGUAAAUCCGGUUCACUUUAACACUGAGGCGUGACGACGAGGCACUACGGUGCUGAAGCAACAAAUGCCCUGCUUCCAGGAAAAGCCUCUAAGCAUCAGGUAACAUCAAAUCGUACCCCAAACCGACACAGGUGGUCAGGUAGAGAAUACCAAGGCGCUUGAGAGAACUCGGGUGAAGGAACUAGGCAAAAUGGUGCCGUAACUUCGGGAGAAGGCACGCUGACACGUAGGUGAAGUGAUUUACUCAUGGAGCUGAAGUCAGUCGAAGAUACCAGCUGGCUGCAACUGUUUAUUAAAAACACAGCACUGUGCAAACACGAAAGUGGACGUAUACGGUGUGACGCCUGCCCGGUGCCGGAAGGUUAAUUGAUGGGGUCAGCGCAAGCGAAGCUCCUGAUCGAAGCCCCGGUAAACGGCGGCCGUAACUAUAACGGUCCUAAGGUAGCGAAAUUCCUUGUCGGGUAAGUUCCGACCUGCACGAAUGGCGUAAUGAUGGCCAGGCUGUCUCCACCCGAGACUCAGUGAAAUUGAACUCGCUGUGAAGAUGCAGUGUACCCGCGGCAAGACGGAAAGACCCCGUGAACCUUUACUAUAGCUUGACACUGAACAUUGAGCCUUGAUGUGUAGGAUAGGUGGGAGGCUUUGAAGCGUGGACGCCAGUCUGCGUGGAGCCGACCUUGAAAUACCACCCUUUAAUGUUUGAUGUUCUAACGUGGACCCGUUACCCGGGUUGCGGACAGUGUCUGGUGGGUAGUUUGACUGGGGCGGUCUCCUCCUAAAGAGUAACGGAGGAGCACGAAGGUUGGCUAAUCCUGGUCGGACAUCAGGAGGUUAGUGCAAUGGCAUAAGCCAGCUUGACUGCGAGCGUGACGGCGCGAGCAGGUGCGAAAGCAGGUCAUAGUGAUCCGGUGGUUCUGAAUGGAAGGGCCAUCGCUCAACGGAUAAAAGGUACUCCGGGGAUAACAGGCUGAUACCGCCCAAGAGUUCAUAUCGACGGCGGUGUUUGGCACCUCGAUGUCGGCUCAUCACAUCCUGGGGCUGAAGUAGGUCCCAAGGGUAUGGCUGUUCGCCAUUUAAAGUGGUACGCGAGCUGGGUUUAGAACGUCGUGAGACAGUUCGGUCCCUAUCUGCCGUGGGCGCUGGAGAACUGAGGGGGCUGCUCCUAGUACGAGAGGACCGGAGUGGACGCAUCACUGGUGUUCGGGUUGUCAUGCCAAUGGCACUGCCCGGUAGCUAAAUGCGGAAGAGAUAAGUGCUGAAAGCAUCUAAGCACGAAACUUGCCCCGAGAUGAGUUCUCCCUGAGACUUUAGGUCUCCUGAAGGAACGUUGAAGACGACGACGUUGAUAGGCCGGGUGUGUAAGCGCAGCGAUGCGUUGAGCUAACCGGUACUAAUGAACCGUGAGGCUUAACCUU
rnacentral:rRNA from 1 species